GGAGGGGGCGGAGAGCAGCGCAGCGCAGUCCUCGGGGGCCCUCCGCGCCGCCAGCACCCCGCUUUCUCCAGGGGACCCUUCAGUGAUUUGCCCCCUCCCCGGUCCCUCUCGUUUGUGCACGGGGCGCUGCGUGCAACCCCCGGCGGCGGCCGUCGGAGCGUUGUGCGGGACUAUGGGGCCCUCUAGUGCGGAACGUGCGCGGCUCUGCCCAGCACCGCCGCCACCUUCGGGUUCCUUCGGGUUCCUGCUGCGGCCGCUUUGGGGCGAUCUCCGGAGCUUGCACGCACGGGGCUUUGUGAGAGGGCAGAGCGAGGAGAGAGUGGUGUCGCGCUUUUUCCUGUGCAACUCACUUUCUCUUGGGUAUCUUUGCUCUGCAAGAUGCAUCUUCCUUCCUUUUUCUGCCCGUCUCUUCGUUCUUUUUUGUUGUUUUACUGCAGCUGCUGAUGUGGGACGGUUUUAUCUCUUCCCCCCUUCUUUGCCGUAUGGGAGGACCGCAACAAUUUCCCACUGCUCUGCUUCACCCUGACUCUGAAGCUGCAGAUUGUUAAGGCGACAGCCGCCAAGUCACCCUAUGGCCAGGUUGCUCUUUGGACUUCUUUGCCAUCAGGAAAAUGCACUCUGCAGGAUUUGAAGCACAAACCCCGGACCUGGCACUGUCUUCCCCAGGUCUGCAUCUUUGUGCCACCCCAACCCCACUGGCCACGCUAGUCCCACGGCCACCUCAGCCCCAUUGGCCACUCCAACCCCUUUGGCCACUCAACUCCCACAGUCCCCCCAACACCAUGGCCUCUCAGCUGCAUGGGCCACCUCAAUCCCACUGGCCACUCAGCUCCCACAGCCACCCCAGCACCAUGGCCACUCAACCCCCCAUGGCCACUCAACUCCGUGGCCAACCCAACCCCACGAGCACCCCAUGCACCGAGGGCUGGGAGAAGCGGCAGCCCAAGCCCACCUCACCUCCCACCAGCUCAAGAGAUCCUGAGCCAGCCGGUGAAAUCCAGCAGCUCUUGCUCCUCAGGGCUGAGCGCCGGCUCACAGCCGUUCUCCUCAUAGGCCCCUGCUGCAGCUGUGGAUUCCGGGGGGGCUGCAAGCUGCUGGGGCUGUCCAUUGCUACUCUGAGCACGGUCACCCGCUAUGGGCUUCGCUUCUCCACCAUCAGCAACGUCGCCCUCGAGAGCAGCUCCUACCGGGCCAUCCACCACACAGCUUUCUACGUCGGCGUCUGCCUCAGCAUGACCCUGAUCCUCGCAGCCCUGCUGAGCGCGGUCGCCACGGUGCGGGAAUCACGGUGCCUCACGGCCACGGCGUUUUUCUGCUUUGCUCUGGCCUUCUGCGGGCUAAUACCAGCUGCCUUUUGGAGGUACAUGCACAGCACAGAGGUGGAGGACAGCAUGCUGGAUGUGUACGACCUCAUGUAUGAGGAGGUGAGGAGGAACGGCUCCAGCUCCAGAUGGCAUGAGCUGACUGUCAUCCACGAAGUAGUAAGCUAUCGUCCAGACUUCACAGAAUCCUUGUUCUGGAGUAUCUCCCCAUUGAUUCAAACAGUGCUGCAUUACUGUUUUCCCUUGGAACCAGCCUAUUGCCAUGUCUGUAUGCGUUUCUGUGCUGUGGGAAGCACUCCCCGCUUGGAGACACAGCUGCUGUUGAGCACAGGCUGUGCCCUCCCAGCACAGUGUGGGCUGCUGGACGGGACUGCCUACAAGAGAUGCAUGGCUUCCUGAAGAAGCACAUGGGCUUAGUCUCCACACUCCUGGGCAUCACCAUUGGCUUCACGGUUUAUGGGAUGGUUCUGACUUCUUUCCUCUGGUUCUCCAUCCACUUCAGCAACAACCUGGGCCGGAAGGGCAAAUACACCUUGCGAGGAAGGUAGAACCCUGUCUCUCCCAGGCUUCCCUACCAGGCAGAGCCAGAUCUCAUUGCAGGUUGAUGCCUGGACUCCUCCACCAAUCCUCCAGGAAGGCGUUGCAUCGCUUGCCUGUGUGCAUUUCCAAGCUGCUCCAUCUGGGUGGAACACUGGGGAACAGCAGUCCUGCAUCUUUGCUGAGAAUGGAUGAGGACUGAGAUGCACCUGGGUUUGGAGAUGCGGGUUAUCUCACUGGGAGAAGGACAGAGUGUAGCACAAGGAGAACACACAUAGCGCCUUAGGACAGAACCUAAAUAAAGCCCGUCCAAAAUCAUAGCAUUAAACCAAACUUCUGCACUGUCAUACGAGAAGUUUCCUGUGACCCCAGAAGAUGUGACUUCUCUAGGGUGAGAGCUUUGGACCACAGCGUGGGACCAAUCUGCCAUUGGAAAAUACGUGUACAUUGGGUGUGGUAUUGAAAAAAAGGAGCUGUGCUCUCCUACCUGGGACAGUGUUCAUCAUUGCCUUUGGGCAGGUUUCAGACCACCCUGGAGUACGUCAGCACCCAGCCACCACUACUGUUUUUUCCCCUCUUUCAAAGCAUUGCUGGAACUCUUGGUAUAAAGUGAGGAAAAAAAGAAAAUCAAAGUAGUGUAUGAGUUUUGAAACAACCAAGCGGAAUAAGGACAUAUCCUUCUGUAUCUUCCUUCUUUGAGUUUUUGAAAUUCUUAGGAUUUGGUCAGCCUCCUAGAUGCUGCACUAAUUUCACAUGGGCUCCUUCAACAUACUGCCUCAAUUCUGUCUCUUUCUGACUUUGCUAACCUACCACACUGCUGUGAAAUACAAAAGGACUUUGAUAUUGAACAUAUGCAGGGCUUGUGUUUAAAUUAAGGAGAAACGGACUGAUCUCCAGCCACGUAAAACACAACAAUGUCCACUUCCUCUUCUCUCCUCCUUAUCAACAAUAAGGAGGAAUUUGAAAAGCCUCAGCUGAGCUGGAAUGAUGGCUUCCUGGUGUGCUUUGCCCUCAUUGCAAGGAGGCA